GAUGAACGCUGGCGGCGUGCUUAACACAUGCAAGUCGAACGAUGAAGCCCAGCUUGCUGGGUGGAUUAGUGGCGAACGGGUGAGUAACACGUGAGUAACCUGCCCUUAACUCUGGGAUAAGCCUGGGAAACUGGGUCUAAUACCGGAUAGGAGCGUCCACCGCAUGGUGGGUGUUGGAAAGAUUUAUCGGUUUUGGAUGGACUCGCGGCCUAUCAGCUUGUUGGUGAGGUAAUGGCUCACCAAGGCGACGACGGGUAGCCGGCCUGAGAGGGUGACCGGCCACCCUGGGACUGAGAACCGGCCCCGACUCCUACGGGAGGCAGCCGUGGGGAAUAUUGCACCAUGGGCGCAAGCCUGAUGCAGCGACGCCGCGUGGGGGAUGACGGCCUUCGGGUUGUAAACCUCUUUCAGUAGGGAAGAAGCGAAAGUGACGGUACCUGCAGAAGAAGCACCGGCUAACUACGUG
rnacentral:rRNA from 1 species